rnacentral:rRNA from 1 species
GACGUAGGUGGCGAACGUUAUCCGGAAUCAUUGGGCGUAAAGGGUGCGUAGAUGGCAGGAUAAGUUAGCAGUGGGAAAUCGAGGCUCAACCUCGUGGAAGCUGGUAAUACUGUUUUGCUUGAGUGCAGGAGAGGUUAACGGAACUCCAUGUGGAGCGGUAAAAUGCGUAGAUAUAUGGAAGAACAUCAAUAACGGCGAAGGCAGUUAACUAUUCUGUUACUGACAUUGAGGCACGAAAGCGUGGGGAGCAAAACGG